rnacentral:rRNA from 1 species
UAAGUGGAGGAAAAGAAACUAACAAGGAUUCCCCUAGUAACGGCGAGUGAAGCGGGAAGAGCUCAAAUUUAAAAUCUGGCAGGCUACGCUUGUCCGAAUUGUAAUCUCGAGAAGUGUUUUCCGCGUUGGCCUGUGUACAAGUCCCUUGGAACAGGGCGUCAUAGAGGGUGAGAAUCCCGUCCUUGACACAGACACCCAAUGCUUUGUGAUACACUCUCAAUGAGUCGAGUUGUUUGGGAAUGCAGCUCAAAAUGGGUGGUAAAUUCCAUCUAAAGCUAAAUACUGGCGAGAGACCGAUAGCGAACAAGUACCGUGAGGGAAAGAUGAAAAGCACUUUGGAAAGAGAGUCAAACAGUACGUGAAAUUGUUGAAAGGGAAACGAUUGAAGUCAGUCGUGCCUGCCUAGUCUCAGCCUUUUGGUGUACUACUAGGUCGGCAGGUCAGCAUCAGUUUGGGAGGAUUAACAAGGGAGUUAGGAAUGUGGCAACCUCGGUUGUGUUAUAGCCUAGCUUCGCAUUGAUCUUGCUGGACUGAGGAACGCAGUGCGCCCGCAAGGGUUGGUCUUCGGACACAUUCGCACUUAGGAUGCUGGCAUAAUGGC